rnacentral:rRNA from 1 species
GAGUUUGAUCCUGGCUCAGGAUGAACGCUGGCGGCGUGCUUAACACAUGCAAGUCGAGCGAUGAAGUUUCCUUCGGGAAACGGAUUAGCGGCGGACGGGUGAGUAACACGUGGGUAACCUGCCUCAUAGAGUGGAAUAGCCUUCCGAAAGGAAGAUUAAUACCGCAUAACGUUGAAAGAUGGCAUCAUCAUUUAACCAAAGGAGCAAUCCGCUAUGAGAUGGACCCGCGGCGCAUUGGCUAGUUGGUGGGGUAACGGCCUACCAAGGCGACGAUGCGUAGCCGACCUGAGAGGGUGAUCGGCCACAUUGGGACUGAGACACGGCCCAGACUCCUACGGGAGGCAGCAGUGGGGAAUAUUGCACAAUGGGGGAAACCCUGAUGCAGCAACGCCGCGUGAGUGAUGAAGGUUUUCGGAUCGUAAAGCUCUGUCUUUGGGGAAGAUAAUGACGGUACCCAAGGAGGAAGCCACGGCUAACUACGUGCCAGCAGCCGCGGUAAUACGUAGGUGGCAAGCGUUAUCCGGAUUUACUGGGCGUAAAGGGAGCGUAGGCGGAUGAUUAAGUGGGAUGUGAAAUACCCGGGCUCAACUUGGGUGCUGCAUUCCAAACUGGUUACCUAGAGUGCAGGAGAGGAGAGUGGAAUUCCUAGUGUAGCGGUGAAAUGCGUAGA